AGUCCCAAGACGGGGGUCUUAAAGAGACAGGAGCUGCGAUAGGGGCCGGGAACUUCAAUUCUCUGUCUCCCCACCAAGGAAAUGAGUGGGUACUGCAAUGUGUGAUGAGUAACAUUACUGUGAGCUUAGAUAGGCAGAUGCCAAAGCCCAGUGAGCUGAUGACUUUUACCUCCCUCUCUUCAAAUUUAAAUCUUCUCAGCCUUAAACACGUUUGCAAAUUCUCAUCCCAACCUGCUUCCUCCCUCUCAGCAACUUCAUUUCCCUGGGUGAUGAGUUCUGAAUUCACCCCCCAGCCCUGAGGAACUGGAACUUGUUGAACUCCACUGUCCAAGAGCAUCUCACUCUGGAAUGGAUGCCCUCAGAAAAGGAGGGAACAGAAAUCUCCACAAACACCCAUCUGAAGGGCACAGAAGACAGGUCCAGCACAUUGCACAUGACCAGGAGGUGCAGCUGGACUUGGAACACUCCUGGGGACAUGGUGGAAGCUGUACAAAUCAGAGAGACCAAGUGAUCUACCACAGUCACCAAGAAGCUCCCAAAAGAUCUGGGAGCAAAAAGAAAAAUAAAUUUAAACUGUGGUUUUGUGCUCAGUCCUGUCCUCGGGGCUCACCUGGAAGGCUGUGGCAUUUACCUUGUCCCAGCAUGGAAAGAACCUGCUCCUUUAUUCCUGGAGGGAGGUUUGCACCACCUGGGACUGGGGCGGUGACUUUACAGGGCUUCCUCUACCGCAAUAAAGCCAGGAAAUGCUCUCUGGAAACACACUAGAGACAGCUCUGCGGGGAGAGCGACUCUCUCACCACAUCGACUGAUGGAAUCAGACAAGGAAAAACAACCGGAUUCCAGCGGUUUCCAGCGUGCAGUACCGCCUGUCCCCAGUGCUCGUCCUCACUGCGCGUCCUAAGCCACCAGCCUGACACACAGCCCAUCCCGCCCCAGGGAUCCCAUCCCACAGAACCCAUCCCACUGAUCCCACCCCAGGGAUCCCACCCCACAGAUCCCAUCCCACCCAUCCCCCGGACGAACACGCUCCAGCUCCCCAUUUAUAAACAAACCCAGAGAAAACCACUCUGUUUUUCAGAUUCUAUUUCAAGUUCACAGUUUGGAGACACACAGCAUUUGUGAUUGGUAUUGAUUCUCAUCACCCUUCUGGAAAAAAAUCAGCAGUAAAAUUCCUCAGUUUACAGGCAAGGAUUUCACGAGGAGGAAAAAUCAAGGCACUAACAGGAGCGGAGUGUCAACAUUUCAGUGUUAUCUCUAGCAUUUCUUUCCUGGUAUUAAAAACAUGCUUUUAAAUCCAAACAAGUUCCUUAUCCUGCUCUUGCUCCACACUGAAAGUACAACAAUGCUGUCAGCAGGAAAAAGAAGACCAUGAAAUCAAGUCCAUUUGUGAUCCCACAGAGGGGAGAAAUAAUCAGGUAUGAAACAGAGUUGUCUCCCAACUCCAAGUUGGUUCCCAAGUUGCUGCAUCCUCCUGCUGAAAGCCCUGCCUGGGGUGCUCACCUUCACAAGAAGAGCUUCUUACUCAUCUCUUCUGUGAGGUGCAAGUUCUCAGCACUGACUUUGGUCUCCUCCAGAAGGAAGCCUCUGCAUCCCACAUGGGACCAUGGCAGUGAUUCCAGAGGGGCUGCUGGAGAAGUGAAGCAGCUGGAUGACAACUCAGGGUUUGUUCACAUCCUGAUGAUGGAAAAAUGAAAGAGGCAGGGACGUGGUUUGGAAUGUGCCAGAGCUGCCUCUGGCCAAGCUCACUGGAGAGCACGGAGGAGCCCUGAGGCUGUUGAGUUUCUGGGGAUGGGUGAGGCACUGCAAGAACAUCUCCAAGAGCAGGAAUGGCACUUUGUGCUUUAUGGAGCACUUUUUUAGGGAGCACAGCAAAACUCCAAGGAAAGUUAAGGGCAGUUGUUGAGAUCCUGGUUGAUUUACAGACACAGAGACAGCAGAUUCCUCCUGGGCACUGUACAGUGGCUACACAGCUGGGAAUAAAGCUCAAAUCCCAGCAACUCCUUCAUUAUAACCUCAAGCACCAAACAGUGAAUCCUAUUGUAAAUCCCUGGCUGAAAAUUCCCCUCUCCCACACACCUGCCCACCAGCUCUGAAAAAAAAAAAGAGAUUGUGCUAAUAUUGGUGGGUGAAAUUUCUAAAGCUGAGCAGUAUGAACAUCCCCAACAGCACUGCUACAUUCCACUUAAUUCUUCUAACCCA